CAGGUCACUCCUACGGGAGGCAGCAGUGGGGAAUAUUGGACAAUGGGGGAAACCCUGAUCCAGCAAUGCCGCGUGAGUGAUGAAGGCCUUCGGGUUGUAAAGCACUUUUAUCAGGAGCGAAAUACUACUGGCUAAUAACCGGUGGGGCUGACGGUACCUGAGGAAUAAGCACCGGCUAACUUCGUGCCAGCAGCCGCGGUAAUACGAAGGGUGCAAGCGUUAAUCGGAAUUACUGGGCGUAAAGCGUGCGUAGGCGGUGAGUUAAGUCUGUUGUGAAAUCCCCGGGCUCAACCUGGGAAUGGCAAUGGAUACUGGCUCGCUAGAGUGUGAUAGAGGAUGGUGGAAUUCCCGGUGUAGCGGUGAAAUGCGUAGAGAUCGGGAGGAACAUCAGUGGCGAAGGCGGCCAUCUGGAUCAACACUGACGCUGAGGCACGAAAGCGUGGGGAGCAAACAGGAUUAGAUACCCUGGUAGUCCACGCCCUAAACGAUGCGAACUGGAUGUUGGUCUCAACUCGGAGAUCAGUGUCGAAGCUAACGCGUUAAGUUCGCCGCCUGGGGAGUACGGUCGCAAGACUGAAACUCAAAGGAAUUGACG
rnacentral:rRNA from 1 species